GAUGAACGCUGGCGGCGUGCUUAACACAUGCAAGUCGAACGGAAAGGCCCAAGCUUGCUUGGGUACUCGAGUGGCGAACGGGUGAGUAACACGUGGGUGAUCUGCCCUGCACUUCGGGAUAGGCCUGGGAAACUGGGUCUAAUACCGGAUAGGACGAUGGUUUGGAUGCCAUUGUGGAAAGUUUUUUUGGUGUGGGAUGAGCUCGCGGCCUAUCAGCUUGUUGGUGGGGUAAUGGCCUACCAAGGCGUCGACGGGUAGCCGGCCUGAGAGGGUGUACGGCCACAUUGGGACUGAGAGACGGCCCAGAGUCCUACGGGAGGCAGCAGUGGGGAAUAUUGCACCAUGGGAGCAAGCCUGAUGCAGCGACGCCGUGUGGGGGAUGACGGCCUUUGGGUUGUAAACUCCUUUCGCUAGGGACGAAGCGUUUUUGUGACGGUACCUGGAGAAGAAGCACCGGCUAACUACGUG
rnacentral:rRNA from 1 species